rnacentral:lncRNA from 1 species
GGGAGCUUAGAUGUGGAAGCUCUUUGGAAACCAAGAAACACUCUGAAAAUGAAAAGGUCUUUCCCCCAAAUGUGAUAAGAAUACAUAGCUACAGAGGGAGGAGCCAAGAUGGCCGAAUAGGAACAGCUCCAGUCUACAGCUCCCAGCCUGAGGGACGCAGAAGAUGGGUGAUUUCUGCAUUUCCAUCUGAGGUGGAAGAGUAAACUGUUCCUGUUUCUCCAUCUUGACAGGAAGCAGAAGUUCUCCUUAGCUGAUUUUUCUUCUUGCCUUAUACUGGGUUCUUUAACACCAGAACAAAAAUAAAUAAAUAAAAGAAUCUUCCAGAAAUUCAUGAAGAGACUUCAGGUCAGGAAAGCCUGAACUUUCUCAUCCAACACCCGUUCAAGUCGGAGGAUGCUGAUUAAUUCAUGAUGGAAAGGUAUCAAUUUCACAGCCCAGACCUCUACAUUCUUGAAAUGCUCUUCUCAUGGGAGACAUUAAAUAAGCUUUGAAUUAACUGAGACCUCUGUGGAUUCUAUAACUCAAAGACCCAGGCUGACGGCUGGUGGAAUAGCUACCAUCUCAAACAUGGCGUGAUGCUGCAUCAGAGAGAAAAAUAAGCUCUUGCAUUGACAAUGAAAUGUCUACCCUGUAGUGACUUGUGCUUACUUCCACUCACAAGUGAUUGCCCAGAGCUACUUACCUGGCUCCAAUCUACCACUGGGUGUGUACUUGCAAUCUACCAUGUACCUAGAAGAUGAGAGAAACAAAUUAUUAAUGAUGACCACACCCCAAUACUAACAACAAUUGCAGAAGAAUCAAUGACUUAAACAAAAAUGUGGCCAUUGAAGGAAUAGAAAAUAUAGUGAGUUUAGUGUAAAUUUAAAAGUGAUUUAUAAGUAACAUACA